UCCCUUGUGGCUCAGCUGGUAAAGAAUCUGUCUGCAAUACAGGAGACCUGGGUUCGAUCCCUGGGUUGGGAA
rnacentral:tRNA from 1 species